UUGCCCUGGAUGUGUAAAGACUCCACAGAACUUCUGAUGAUUGUUUUCCUACAUGUCUUCCUUAUAUGAAGUUCACAGCAGUGUUGGGCAGAAGGAAACAAAAAACACAAAGUGAUCGCAGACAUCAAAUGGAAGCUGCUGCCUUGACGCCCUCUGCAGACCUGGCUACGUGUCUAAUGAAAUGUCUGGAGUGAUUCAUGGACUACAACAUGUAUUGUAAAAGCGGACUCAAAG
rnacentral:lncRNA from 1 species